rnacentral:rRNA from 1 species
AUGAUGCUCUCUUCACUCAUCAUCUCGUAUUGUGAAGAUCAUGUUAUUUUCUCUGCUUAUCCAUUCAACCGGAGUGUCAUGUUUUUUUUCGAGCUCUCUCAUCUUAUCAAAUUUUGCCUCCAUUCUCAACCGGAGUGCUGUCUGAAAUCUUCUUACCCCUCGUGCAAUUCUUUCAAUAGUUCCGGGGGCAGUGUGUUGUUGAUUUCAUCAAGCAUACUCUCAUCUUGUCUAGUUCAUAUUCAAUUCCUUUCAUUUACAGUCGGAGUGCUGUCCAAUUUAUAUCAUUCUUAUUCCUUCUCUAUCUUGUUUAACCGGAGUCUUCUGUCUAUUAUUCCUCUUCUAACCGGACUCUCAUCCAAGUGCUUUCAUUUUUUUCCAAGCUCAUAUUCUUUACCUUCCUUUUCCAACCGAAGUGUUGUCAUAUUUGAUCCUUAUCGUUCUUUGUACAUCUCGUUUCAACCGGGGUGCUUGCGUGUACUUCUUGUCCAUUGCAACCCUUUUUCUUAUGUCUUUCAACCUACAAGGUUCCCGUAA